GGACUCCAUCACCGGCGGCCACGGCGGCGCUCCAGCCAUCAACACCGGCGGUGGGGUGCCGGCGAGAUCAGACAGCCUACCGGGGAGUGAGGAAGCGGCGGUGGGGGAAAUGGGUGUCGGAGAUACGCGAGCCAAGGAAGAAGUCGAGGAUCUGGCUCGGUUCUUUCCCAACGCCGGAGAUGGCGGCGCGGGCCCACGACGCGGCGGCGCGGUGUCUGAAGGGUGCAAAUGCGGUGCUCAACUUCCCCGACGAGGCCCACCUCCUCCCAUUUCCCG
rnacentral:misc_RNA from 1 species